GGGGAGUGAAAUAGAACCUGAAACCGUGUACGUACAAGCAGUAGGAGCAGGCUUUGUCCUGUGACUGCGUACCUUUUGUAUAAUGGGUCAGCGACUUAUAUUCAGUGGCAAGGUUAACCAUCUAGGGGAGCCGUAGGGAAACCGAGUCUUAACUGGGCGUUCAGUCUCUGGAUAUAGACCCGAAACCAGGUGAUCUAGCCAUGGGCAGGUUGAAGGUUGAGUAACAUCAACUGGAGGACCGAACCGACUAAUGUUGAAAAAUUAGCGGAUGACUUGUGGCUAGGGGUGAAAGGCCAAUCAAACCUGGAGAUAGCUGGUUCUCCCCGAAAGCUAUUUAGGUAGCGCCUCGGACGAAUACUACUGGGGGUAGAGCACUGUUAAGGCUAGGGGGUCAUCCCGACUUACCAACCCUUUGCAAACUCCGAAUACCAGUAAGUACUAUCCGGGAGACACACGGCGGGUGCUAACGUCCGUCGUGGAGAGGGAAACAACCCAGA
rnacentral:rRNA from 1 species